rnacentral:lncRNA from 1 species
AUGAAGUUCAAUCCUUUAGUGACUUCUGGCAGAAGCAAGAACUGCAAAUUUGGCAUUCCCCUGAAUGUGAAAGUCAUCUCAAUGCACCUUCUCACAUUCGGGGGAAGACCAUGACUUCCCCUCUUUCCAAAGAGCUGAGACAGAAGUAUAGUGUUCAGUCUAUGCCCAUCCGAAAGGAUGAUGGAGGAUAAUGAAGUUUAGGGUGUUCAAGGACACUACAAAGGUGAGUAGAUUGGCAAGGUAGUCUAAGUGUACAGGAAGGAAUACAUCAUCUACAUUGAAUGAGUCCAGCGAGAGAAGGCUAAUGGCACAACCACAACCGUUCAUGUGGGCAUCCACCCCAGCAAGGUGGGCAUCACCAGGCUAAAGCUGAACAAGGGCCACAAGAUCCUGGAGAGGAAAGCCAAGUCCUGACAAGUAGGAAAGGACAAGGGCAAAUACAAGGAAGAAACAAUCGAGAAGAUGCAGAG